UCUAAAACUAAUUAUCAUAUUUAAAUAGGAUGCUUUUUUAUCUGAAUCAAUAUUUUAUUUCAAGUAGCAUGUGGGAAAGAGUGAUGGAUAUCCUCUAGCAAUGAGAGAAUAUGGUUACCUUGUCUUCCUCUGUGAUAACUUCACAUAAUUCAGAUGCCAAGUCCCUGGGAAUAUGUGUUCAAGAGAAGCUCAAAUCCUGCAAAUCCCUACAAGAGCUCAAACAAAUACAUGCUUUUCUUAUUAAAACAAGCUCACCCAUCCAUUUCCACCACCUCAUAUUCACCAAAACCUUAUCCUUUUCUCCUUGUUCAUCUUCUUCCUCUGACCCAACUUAUGCACACUCCUUGUUUGCUAAGUUGCCUGAACCAGAUAUUGUUGCGUAUAAUGCUGUUAUACGAUAUUUUUCGAGUGCCAAGAAUGGUAACAACUCAUUGGUGGCUCUCUUGGUUUUGGUUGGAUUGCUUGAAAAUGGCCUUUUUCCUGAUAAUUACACAUACCCUUUUGUUUUCAAGGCUUGUAUGCAGUUAUGUAAGUUGAGAGAAGGUGAACAAGUUCAUGCACAUGUGAUUAAAAAGGGGUUUGUUUCUGAUUUGUAUGUGGUGAAUAAUUUGAUGAGGUUGUAUGCUGUUUGUGGUGGUGUUGACAGAAUGAGGAAGUUGUUUGAUGGGAGUCCGGAGAGGGAUUUGGUGUCGUGGACUACGUUGAUUCAGGGUUAUGUUCAUAUGGGGUUUGGGAGGGAAGGAGUACAUGUGUUUUUUGAGAUGUGCAGUGCAGGUAUCAGGCCUGAUGAGAUCGCAAUGGUGGUAGUAAUUUCUGCAUGUGCAAAACUAGGUGAUUUGAGACUUGGGAGGAAAAUCCAUGAGUAUAUGUUUGACCAUAAGGUGAAAUUUGAUGUGUUUGUUGGAAAUGCAUUGGUUGAUAUGUAUUUAAAAUGUGGCUGUGCUGAGUUUGCUCGUAAGGUCUUCAAUGAGAUGCCUGUUAAAAAUGUGGUUUCCUGGAACUCCAUGAUAUUUGGUUUGGCUCAACAAGGGAAGUUUAGGGAAGCCAUAAUUUUUUUUAUUAAGAUGCAGAGUAAAGGCUUCAAACCAGAUAGUCUUACUUUAGUUGGUGUGCUGCACUCAUGUGCGAAUUUAGGGGGACUCGAAUUGGGAACGUGGGUUCAUGCAUACAUAGAUAGGCAUCAUCUUGAAGCUGAUGGUUUUCUAGGAAAUGCCCUUAUAGACAUGUAUGCAAAGUGCGGAAGCAUAGAAAAAGCUGUUAGAGUGUUUAAAAACAUGAAGCGGAAAGAUGUUUAUACAUGUUCAACCAUGAUAGUUGGGUUAGCCUUAAAUGGGCAAGCAGAAAGAGCACUAGAAGUUUUCUUAGAAAUGAGGAAUAUGAAAAUUGAACCAAAUGAUGUGACAUUUAUUGGUGUUCUCAUGGCAUGUAGUCAUGCAGGUCUUUUGGAGGAUGGACGCAAGCAUUUUAUUCAAAUGUCGAAAGUUUAUAAUCUUGAACCGCAAGUAGAGCACUACUGCAUCAUGGUCGACCUCUUGGGUCGUGCAGGUUUGAUAAGUGAAGCUGAGGAGUUUAUUAAAGAAAUGCCAAUCGUGCCUGAUGCCUCUGUUUGGGGUUCUUUAUUAGGAGCUUGUAGGAUUCAUGGGCAUGUUGAGCUUGGGAAGAAUGUAAUGGAAAAACUUGAAAGUAUUGAGUCUGAGGAGGACGGUACCUAUGUACUCAUGUCAAAUAUAUACUCUUCAUCAGAUCGAUGGAGGGAAGCUUCAAAAUUAAGAAAGGCAAUGAAGGAACUGAAGAUUAAGAAGAAACCUGGUUGUAGUUUAAUUGAACUGGAUGGUGUAGUUUAUGAAUUUCGGAAAGGGGAUAAAGCACAUCCAAAGGCUAAUGUGAUAUACACGUUACUUGCAGAAUUACAUUAUCAGAUGAGGAAUCCCACAGACUUGAUACACAGUGACAUUAUUUGAGUUCCAACAGAUGUCAUAAGGAUCAAAGACUUAAGUGGGUUGUGUCGGGGUGAAGUUACCUCGCCUCAAGGAUAGCCUACUGCUGAGCACAUGUCUACACAUCUAACUGAUGAGGUUCCCACUAUGGCGGCUAAAUCUCAUUUUCGGGGAAGUAAGGUAUAAGGGAAAUUCAAUGCAUAUUGAUGCUACAUAAUGGACAGCUUCUUGCCUUCUCCAACCUGAUUGAUUAUGAGAUUGCCAGAUUGGAAUCCAUGAACAUAUUCAAGUGUUGACGUAACAGAAGCAGCAGCAUUUUCCAAAACACCACCGCUAGUGUUAGACUUUUUGGCAGGGGGUUGGGGUUGUGGCUGUUGGGGCGCCUGCACCAGCCUUUGUCCUUGUUGACCUCCGGCUGAUGGCCUGCAAUCUCCAGUCUCCGCCUUCUUCCCUACUGCACUCUGAUCAGUUGCCUUGAAACAUGAAAAUCAUCGUAAACUUAUAUGAUAGAAAGUCUGUCAAAGUUCAUUUCACAAAAGGUCAUAAGAUUCAUCAAUGAGUAUCUGAAAAAACUGCAAAACCUAAGAACAUGAAUGCAUGUGUGCAUUUUCAUUACCUGAUUAUUUGUUGAUGGGUUGUUAUUAUUCAUGAUUAUGCCUGAUUGUUGAUUCAAAUUGAGAAUUUUUUUCAAGAGAUUAAUGUAUUUUCUCCUGAUCUAAAAUCUUUAUUAGUACAAGUUCUUAGGGCAUCCUGAAAUUUUGGAUUACAAUGGUGGUUAGCUAAUGCUAUAAUGAGUCUACCUUUUUAGUGGUCAAAUUUCCAAUUAAGUG